UCAAGAAUUAUAAUCUCAGGAUUAUAAUCUCGCGAUAAUAGAGUCCGCUAACCAAACGACCCCUAAGUUGUUAACAUAAUUUCGGUUUUUUUUUAUUCAGUGUAUUAUUAUCAACUUAAAUUCAUAGUUAAGUCAAGAAAUAUUAUUAUACUCUUUUUAUAAUAUUAUAAAGAAAAUGACACCCAACCUUUUAUUUGGCCUAGUAUAAUUCUCUUCAUCUGCCUCAUCAAUCAUUCAUUCAUUCUCUCUCAGCCUUAUCAAUGGCCUUCUCUCCAAAGUCAAAGCUCUUGUUCUUCUCUCUUGGCAUGUUCUUCUCCCUUUGUCUAUCCUUCUCUCCAAAGUCAAAGCUAUUAGUGUUGAUGAAGAGUCUCAUAUGAUUGAGUUCCAUGUUGGGUUUUUGUCUGAGAAGUUGCCAGCUAAUGAAUUUGAGGAUAUUCCCACUUGUAAGAAUAAAGGGUGCCAAGAUUCUACCCUUGCUUCAAUAUGAUGAGGACAAACGGAGCUCUAAGGUGCUGUUAUACUUCUUAUGAAGAAUGAAAUGUUGACUUGGCUUCAGGAAAGUAACUCUUCACGCAUGUGGAGUCUAUGUACCAUUCUAAGUUUUCAUGUUCAUAGUAGUCGGAAUGUAUAAUUCAUGUUAUCUACAACAGAGGAAAUUCUUCCUUAAGGGACAUCUAUCUUUGGUGUCUAUUCUUCUUGGCUGACUAUUUCUUUCUUUCCUCUUUCCAAUAUAAAAUCUGCAAAUAGUAAAUAAAUAACAGAUUCUUUCUUUGA